rnacentral:tRNA from 2 species
GGGCUCAUGGUCUAGCGGUUAUGACGUCUGCUUCACACGCAGGAGGUCGCCGGUUCGAAUCCGGCUGAGCCCACCA